UGAGGAAUAUUGGUCAAUGGACGAGAGUCUGAACCAGCCAAGUAGCGUGAAGGAUGACUGCCCUAUGGGUUGUAAACUUCUUUUAUACGGGAAUAAAGUUAGCCACGUGUGGCUUUUUGUAUGUACCGUAUGAAUAAGGAUCGGCUAACUCCGUGCCAGCAGCCGCGGUAAUACGGAGGAUCCGAGCGUUAUCCGGAUUUAUUGGGUUUAAAGGGAGCGUAGGCGGGUUGUUAAGUCAGUUGUGAAAGUUUGCGGCUCAACCGUAAAAUUGCAGUUGAUACUGGCGACCUUGAGUGCAACAGAGGUAGGCGGAAUUCGUGGUGUAGCGGUGAAAUGCUUAGAUAUCACGAAGAACUCCGAUUGCGAAGGCAGCUUACUGGAUUGUAACUGACGCUGAUGCUCGAAAGUGUGGGUAUCAAACAGGAUUAGAUACCCUGGUAGUCCACACAGUAAACGAUGAAUACUCGCUGUUGGCGAUAUACUGUCAGCGGCCAAGCGAAAGCAUUAAGUAUUCCACCUGGGGAGUACGCCGGCAACGGUGAAACUCAAAGGAAUUGACGGGGGCCCGCACAAGCGGAGGAACAUGUGGUUUAAUUCGAUGAUACGCGAGGAACCUUACCCGGGCUUAAAUUGCAACUGACGGAACUGGAAACGGUUCUUUCUUCGGACAGUUGUGAAGGUGCUGCAUGGUUGUCGUCAGCUCGUGCCGUGAGGUGUCGGCUUAAGUGCCAUAACGAGCGCAACCCUUAUCGAUAGUUACUAGCAGGUCAUGCUGAGGACUCUAUUGAGACUGCCGUCGUAAGAUGUGAGGAAGGUGGGGAUGACGUCAAAUCAGCACGGCCCUUACGUCCGGGGCUACACACGUGUUACAAUGGGGGGUACAGAAGGCAGCUACACGGCGACGUGGUGCUAAUCCCGAAAGCCUCUCUCAGUUCGGAUUGGAGUCUGCAACCCGACUCCAUGAAGCUGGAUUCGCUAGUAAUCGCGCAUCAGCCACGGCGCGGUGAAUACGUUCCC
rnacentral:rRNA from 1 species